UUGCGGAGUGCGGACCAGUGACGUAUGUACACGUAUGUCAAUAUGUCAUAUGUGUGCAACCUCCGCCUCUACUCCCUCAUCUUCCUAUGCGACAUCACAAAAAAUAUACGAAUUCGACGGACAGCCCGAAUCAGAUUAUCCGCUCUGGAUGAGUUGUAACACGAAGAAAUGGCAAUACACACAAAAGAACAAAUAAAAUAAAAGCCGGACCGAUGUCAGGAAUGACAGCGUAGAGGAUCGCGAGCCUAUAUAGAAUCAUCAUAGCUACGUGGUCGAUAACUACUAGUACGCAUCAGUCGGUUGUUCUGUCGUUGGUAUAUGCAAUUCUUGACCUUGGAAGUAAAUAUAAGAUACAGGACUGACCACGCACG